GUGGGGAAUCUUCCGCAAUGGACGAAAGUCUGACGGAGCGACGCCGCGUGAGUGAAGAAGGCCUUCGGGUCGUAAAGCUCUGUCAUCAGGGACGAACGGCCGGUGGAGUGGAAAGCCACCGGAUUGACGGUACCUGAGAAGGAAGCCACGGCUAACUACGUGCCAGCAGCCGCGGUAAUACGUAGGUGGCAAGCGUUGUCCGGAAUUAUUGGUCGUAAAGCGCGCGCAGGUGGGAUCUUAAGUCCAUUUUGAAAGUUCGGAGCUCAACUCCGUGAUGGGAUGGAAACUGGGAUUCUUGAGUACCGGAGAGGAAAGCGGAAUUCCCCGUGUAGCGGUGAAAUGCGUAGAGAUUUGGAAGAACACCAGUGGCGAAGGCGACUUUCUGGACGAAAACUGACGCUGAGGCGCGAAAGCCAGGGGAGCGAACGGGAUUAGAUACCCGGGUAGUCC
rnacentral:rRNA from 1 species